GCCUAGUUAGCUUAGUUGGUAGUGCGUCUGCCUUGUAAGCGCUAGGCCGCGGGUUCGAUUCCCGCCCGGGACC
rfam:Asian citrus Psyllid, Diaphorina citri - Florida Strain, whole genome shotgun sequence.